UGCCACCCGGGCACGGAGUGUGCCAGCAGCCCCUCGGGAGCACCCGGCAUCGCCCCCCGAAGGGGACGUGGGAGCCUCUGCAGGGCAGCGGGGGACCGGGACCGGGCACGGAGCUGUGCGCCGGGCGGGGAGGGGGCUCGGGGGAGCUCUUCCACGCCUGUCCCUUCUGCUCCUUCCGGGAAGCUGCAGCCUCCCGCUCCCCCCUUUUUCCCCUUCUGCCGUGCGCACGCCAGCCUUGCUGGGUAUUUUUAGCCGGCGCCGCUGAUUAGCAUUCAGGGGAGCAAGCGAGGGAGAGAAAACCAUUUCUAAGCCGUUUUCUCAUCCCUUUCCAACAGGGGCAGUGCACCUGUUUGCGGCGGGGGCUGGGCGGGGGUCCCGGCCUGGCGCUCGCCUCCCCCAGCCCGGGCACCUCGGCCGGCCCCGCUCGCUGCGGGCUCCCCCCGGCCCGUCGGGGCUGGCAGCGCCCGCUCCCCUCCGCGGCCCCUGGCUGUCGAGCGCUGCUGCUCCUCCCCGUGCGACGCUUCUGCCUGCUGGGGCAUCCUCGGUGAUGCUCUGAAGCAUGGUCCCCACCGUCCCCCCGCAGUGGCACUGCCCCAAAGCAUCAGGCGCACCCAUGGGACGUGUCAUCCCUUGGGGAACACCAGGACGAGCUGUCAGAAGUGGGCAGCUGGCAGCUGUCAGAAGUGGGCAGUUCUCCAGCAUGGUCAUUCACAUGUUCCAGCUCCUUGGUCUUCCACAUCUUGAAAGUCAUCUCCUAAGGAAGAGGCACUUUUCUGUCCAGUGUUUGCUACCAGACUGAUCUUGGCUAGCAUCCCUAAAAGCUGUGGGUUGUGAGAGGCCAGGCCAACAAAGAAGUUUAAUAAGGUAAUUAGUAAUUCAGCUACUUCUUUUUAUUUCUCCUCUGUGGCAACUUGCUACUCUUGACCUUUUUUUCAAAUCUUUCCUUGCUUGUUCCUCCCCAGAAGGACUUUCUGGCUUCCAAGCACUAUGCUCAAUAUGCAAGGCUAGAAGUUCCACUACCAACAUGUUCCCCCACGUGUUAUUUAUUAUUCAUAAACCUCCCGGGUUUCAGUGUCACUCUGAGUUAGCACAAUUUUUCAUAUGGUUGUUUAGCACUUUGCAACGUGGCACAUAUUCAGUAAGAGGAGACUUUUUAAACACGCACACACACACACACACACGUACAGAAUAAGGUCAUUAGCAUAUUCUGAAUGUUUAAGUCCAACUCUUUGGAAAAAAAUAUUUGAAAACACAGUAAUAAAGUUGUUACAUUCAUAAUAAUAAACA
rnacentral:lncRNA from 1 species